UUAAAAAUAAGCUAAAUAAAGCUUUUGGGCUCAUACCUCAAAUAUAAAGAUGAUUCUUUUUUUUAAA
rnacentral:tRNA from 1 species